rnacentral:rRNA from 1 species
AUUGAACGCUGGCGGCAGGCCUAACACAUGCAAGUCGAACGGUAACAGGAAGCAGCUUGCUGCUUCGCUGACGAGUGGCGGACGGGUGAGUAAUGUCUGGGAAGCUGCCUGAUGGAGGGGGAUAACUACUGGAAACGGUAGCUAAUACCGCAUAAUGUCGCAAGACCAAAGUGGGGGACCUUCGGGCCUCUUGCCAUCGGAUGUGCCCAGAUGGGAUUAGCUUGUUGGUGGGGUAACGGCUCACCAAGGCGACGAUCCCUAGCUGGUCUGAGAGGAUGACCAGCCACACUGGGACUGAGACACGGUCCAGACUCCUACGGGAGGCAGCAGUGGGGAAUAUUGCACAAAGGGCGCAAGCCUGAUGCAGCCAUGCCGCGUGUAUGAAGAAGGCCUUCGGGUUGUAAAGUACUUUCAGCGGGGAGGAAGGGAGUAAAGUUAAUACCUUUGCUCAUUGACGUUACCCGCAGAAGAAGCACCGGCUAACUCCGUG